rnacentral:rRNA from 1 species
AUGAAAAUGGAUCAGAGGAUGAUCAUCGUGUCCUCGGCCGUCGGUUCUCUCGGGUUGCUGAGUGCCAUCCUGGGGUUCUCAGCCGAGGGCACAAAGCUCAAUGUUUGGGACUUGGUCCAGGAUGGAACGGCGUGCUAUAACCCGCAGAACCCGGCGGCCGGGCUCGGGGCCUGCGCAGCCAUCUUUCUGGUCAUAGCCCAGGUCACCUUCGCAGCCGUCGGCGGGUGCUGCGGCUGCUGCAAGUCACGCGCCAUCCCUUCCGAGACCAAACGGAUCAUCGGCGUCGUCUGCGCCGUUUCCUCAUGGAUCUUGGCUAUAAUCGCGUUCGGGCUACUGGUGGGGGGCGCGGCGUCGAACGCCCCCGGGGGCCGGGUUGAGCACGGGCUGUGCGACGAACCCAUGGACGGCCUCUUCGCCGGCGGAGCCGUGCUCUCGUUCGUCGCCACGGCCCUCGGGAUCGCCUCCUACGUCAUGCUCCGAACGCAGCCGGCCGCCGCAGCCACGCCCAAGGAAAGCGAGAAGAUGCCGCCGGGCGCCGCGAUGGGGCAGCCGCAGUUCCCGCAGCAGCCUUCUCCCCAGGGGCAGGGGUACGGGCUGGCGCCGCAGCCGAACUACCCGCAGUACUCUCCGCCGCCCCAGGGGCAGGGUUACGGCCAAGCGCCGAACGCGCAGUUCCCUCCUGCCUCUUCUCCUCCAUACGGCCAGGCGCCCAACCCGCACUACCCCCCUCCUCCGGCACAAGGCUACGCGCAGCACCAGCAGCAGCAGCAGUUCCCCCUUCCCCCUGCACAAGGCUACGGAGCGCACGCGCCGAACCAGCAGUACCCUCCUCCCGCUCAUGGCUACGGGGCGCACGCGCCGGAGCAGCAGUUCCCCCUUGCUUCUCCGCCUCCUGCUCAGUUCUAUGGGGGGCCGCACACGCUGAACCAGCAGGCCCCGCCGCCUCCCAAGGGAGACGAACAGGUGUAA